rnacentral:rRNA from 1 species
UACGGAGGGGGCUAGCGUUAUUCGGAAUUAUUGGGCGUAAAGGGCGCGUAGGCGGCCCGGUAAGUCAAAGGUGAAAUCCCUCGGCUCAACUGAGGAACUGCCUUUGAAACUGUCGGGCUUGAGGCCGGGAGGGGGUAGCGGAAUUCCCAGUGUAGCGGUGAAAUGCGUAGAUAUCUGGAGGAACACCGGUGGCGAAGGCGGCAUCCUGGACCGGCAUUGACGCUGAGGCGCGAAAGCUAGGGGAGCAAACGGG